UCGGCAAUGGGGGCAACCCUGACCGAGCGACGCCGCGUGCGGGAUGAAGGCCUUCGGGUUGUAAACCGCUGCCGUAGAGGAGGAAAUGCAGGGGGGUUCUCCCCUUUGUUUGACCUAUUCUAGGAGGAAGUACGGGCUAAGUUCGUGCCAGCAGCCGCGGUAAGACGAACCGUACAAACGUUACUCGGAAUUACUGGGCUUAAAGGGUGCGUAGGCUGCGCAGAAAGUUGGGUGUGAAAGCCCUCGGCUCAACCGGGGAAUUGCAUUCAAAACUACUGUGCUCGAGGGAGACAGAGGUAAGCGGAACUCAAGGUGGAGCGGUGAAAUGCGUUGAUAUCUCGAGGAACACCGGUGGCGAAGGCGGCUUACUGGGUCUCUUCUGACGCUGAGGCACGAAAGCUAAGGUAGCAAACGGGAUUAGAUACCCCGGUAGUCUUAGCUGUAAACGAUGAGCACUUGAUUGGAGGGUCCUCCAUAGCCUUCCAGUCGUAGCGAAAGUGUUAAGUGCUCCGCCCGGGGAGUAUGGUCGCAAGGCUGAAACUCAAAGA
rnacentral:rRNA from 1 species